rnacentral:lncRNA from 1 species
GGGCAAAGUGGCAGGAACCUCUUAAAGGGCGAGAGCGGCGGAGCGCGAGGACGCGGCCCGGCCCGGCCCGGCCAGGUCCCCUCCGGGUCCGGCCCAGUCUUUCCUUGUCCCUGUCCUCUGUUUUUCUCCAAGAGUUUUCUCGCCUUCACCGACACUUUCCGGCAGACCCCACCUUUUUGGAGUAGGACGGGAGUUCUUCCCUCCAGCAAAUUGGAGGUGGGGACUUGUCCAGACAGACCCCAGCCCAAGCUUGCCCCGGAAGCGAGGAGGGGAGGACUAUCCUGGUAGGGUUGGGGGAGGUUAUUCCAAGGCCUACAGCUUCCCUUGGGGAGGGAAUGGCCGAAUGUGAUCCCUCGAGUUCCUGGACUCGGGCUGAAGGCAGCCUCUUCUCUGCUUCUGGAGCCCUUUCUCCAGAAGGAGGAGGCUUGGGGAGAGCCUGGCUGGGGCUGAUGCUUAGCGCAGCGGGGCGUCUCUGUGAGAACUGCCUAGUGGCAGGUCAGGGUCAGAUCCUCAGCUACUGAAGGGGAGAGGUAGGGGCCAGCGCACUGGCAGAGCCCCAGAGGUUUCAGCAAGCUCCCCACCUUCACCCCAGUUACAGGCACCAGGGCUGGUCUUGGCAGGAGGCUGAGGGUGGAGAGGGGAUCACUAGGAGGAGGCCAGAGGACUUUUGCCAGGGGGGUGGGGGAGCGGAGAUAGAAGUGACAGACUGUCAAGUCUAAGCAGCACCUACUGGGGUCACUCCCUGCCUUCAAGGCCCUUCUGAGUAUCGGAGAGACAGACACCUCAGAAAUAACUCCUGUCCCCUGCUGCUGUCGGGUACAUGUAAACAAGGUGUUAGCAGCCCUGAGGUGGGAAUUAUUCUGACUAGGGAUGGGGGAGGAGAGACUUUGCAGAGGGAGCUGGAAGGCUUGGGAAGAAGGGGACCCAGAAGCUGCAGGGAGAGGAGGAGAGGAGGGAGGGAAGGGGAUAUCGGUGCCCUGUAGGCUUUGCAUGCAGCAGGACUGGGUUUGAAUCCUGGCCCUGCCACUUCCUUACUGUGUGACCUUGCAUGAGUUACUUCAUCUCUCUGAGUCCCCGGUUCCUUAGUCAAUAAACCUGACCUUACAGACAUUAGCAGAAUCAAAUGAGGUAAUGAGAGUGCAGUGACCAGAAUGAUAGCUGGUCUGGGAGCAGGCCAGUGGAGGAUGUUUCAAGAAGGGAAUGGAGUGGGGAAGCCCUGAGGUUCCCUCUGUGUAUAUAGGAGAGUCAGGCAGGGCCUGCCAGAUCCCAGUAAUGUGGGAUGCAGGUGGAGUAUCUGGGUGUGUGGGUGACACUCAGUGAGGUGAGGAGGCCCCACAGCCAUCUGUCUCCUGAUCGGCCCAUCCCUGCAUUAUCUAGACCAGGCUGGCCUCCCUCCUGUAGGCCCCUGGUGCCAAUAGAAGCUCCCAGGGCUCCUGGGCUGCCUCACUCCUGAGGCAAGUGGGGGUGGGGCCCCUGGCAGGGCAGGGCAGGGCCAGCACCCCCUCUGCAGAGUGGACCCUGGCCAGGAGCCUGGCUGGCUGUGCUGGGCAGGAACAUCCCCGCCUGGCUGGGAAGAUGCUGACGCUGUAUAGGCCUCUGGAGGCCCAGAGCUCUGCUGGCUAGAGUCGGGC